UACGUAGGGGGCAAGCGUUGUCCGGAAUUACUGGGCGUAAAGGGCUCGUAGGCGGCCAACUAAGUCAGACGUGAAAUCCCUAGGCUCAACCUAGGAACUGCGUCUGAUACUGGAUGGCUUGAAUCCGGGAGAGGGAUGCAGAAUUCCAGGUGUAGCGGUGAAAUGCGUAGAUAUCUGGAGGAAUACCGGUGGCGAAGGCGGCAUCCUGGACCGGCAUUGACGCUGAGGAGCGAAAGCUAGGGGAGCAAACGGG
rnacentral:rRNA from 1 species